GGACACCGUCGAGCCGCCCGACUCCGGCCGGCCGGCGGUCACGGGCAACUGGGGCUGCGGCCGGCGCCACGGCGGCGACCCCCAGCUGAAGGCGGCGCUCCAGUGGCUGGGAGCCAGCCGCGCCGAGCUGCCCUGUCUCAUCUACUACACCUGCGGCAACGCGGCCGUGCAGACGCUCCAGUGGGUGUGCAGUACGGUCACCGACCGACACUGGACGGUCGGGGAGCUGGCCGCAGCCGUCCUGUCCCACUGCCACCGCAGACUGGAGGCGGCCAAACGCAGCGCCAGCAGGCAAAGAACAGUGGCCACUCCUGGGGACCUGUUUGAGGACCUGCUGCGCUCGGAAGUGCCGCCAACAGCGGAGGCCACCUUCAAAACCCGCAUACCUUCCCUCGACUGAGGCCCAUAGACGGUGACUGAGGACCUCAGCGGGCCGUCGGAGGCCGCACCCAAGCGUCCAGCUGUGGUGUAGUGAGUUGUGAUCCCCGUGGGCCCGAUAGUGUUCCAGGAACCGACUGAGGUCCCCGUAUUGACCAAUGGUCCUCAGGCCGACCAGUGGUCCUCUUAUCGACCACGUGGUCCUCACUGGUCCGGGCGGGACACGUCUGGUCCUACGUCCCAGGCCUCCGUGAGUCCCGCUAGCGUCCGGGGGCCUUCGUACCGCCCUUUGUAGUGCAUUCCCAACCCCGAGUCGGCCGUCCCUCCUAGGAGUCUGACGUCCCCGUCCGCAGAGAUGCAAACUCCCAGUGGAGAUGAAGAUUGUGAGACAGUCAUCCCCGCGGGCGACAGUGAUACAGGCAAUAAUGAUGAUACGCGGGAGGCGCCGCGUGUUAAAUAUGAUUUACAUGAGCUGAAUGUCACAUUUGUAGGUUGUGCGAUAUAUUAUGUGCAUGCUUUCUUACCCUUCCAUGAUUCCCCAUGAGCGCUUCCACUGCUGUGUCGGUAAUUGACUAUAUAUAUGCCCAGAGGAUGUUGUGGGAAACGUUAGCGCGUUUUGAUGGACGCCGUACCGAUAUGUAGUAAACCAAACGUCCCGUGUCGAGCCGUCCCAUUCAACGAAUAUGGGCCGGACCGCGCGUUUUUAACGCGUGCUGCUUGUUACGAGACGUGCUUGGAUGCCCUGCGCUCGUCGUGGCGUGUCGUAUAUCACUCGAUCGCGAGUUACGAAAUAAAGAUACAGCAUUCGUAAU